UACGGGGGGGGCAAGCGUUGUUCGGAAUUACUGGGCGUAAAGGGCUCGUAGGCGGCCAACUAAGCCCGACGUGAAAUCCCCAGGCUUAACCUGGGAACUGCGUCGGAUACUGGAUGGCUUGAAUUCGGGAGAGGGAUGCAGAAUUCCAGGUGUAGCGGUGAAAUGCGUAGAUAUCUGGAGGAAUACCGGUGGCGAAGGCGGCAUCCUGGACCGACAUUGACGCUGAUGAGCGAAAGCUAGGGGAGCAAACGGG
rnacentral:rRNA from 1 species